rnacentral:rRNA from 1 species
AUUGAACGCUGGCGGCAGGCUUAACACAUGCAAGUCGAGCGGGGUGAUGGUGCUUGCACUAUCACUUAGCGGCGGACGGGUGAGUAAUGCUUAGGAAUCUGCCUAUUAGUGGGGGACAACAUCUCGAAAGGGAUGCUAAUACCGCAUACGUCCUACGGGAGAAAGCAGGGGAUCACUUGUGACCUUGCGCUAAUAGAUGAGCCUAAGUCGGAUUGGCUAGUUGGUGGGGUAAAGGCCUACCAAGGCGACGAUCUGUAGCGGGUCUGAGAGGAUGAUCCGCCACACUGGACUGAGACACGGCCCAGACUCCUACGGGAGGCAGCAGUGGGGAAUAUUGGACAAUGGGGGGAACCCUGAUCCAGCCAUGCCGCGUGUGUGAAGAAGGCCUUAUGGUUGUAAAGCACUUUAAGCGAGGAGGAGGCUCUUUUGGUUAAUACCCAAGAUGAGUGGACGUUACUCGCAGAAUAAGCACCGGCUAACUCUGUGCCAGCAGCCGCAGUAAGAC